rnacentral:rRNA from 1 species
GAUGAACGCUGGCGGCGUGCCUAAUACAUGCCAGUCGAGCGAACAGACGAGGAGCUUGCUCCUCUGACGUUAGCGGCGGACGGGUGAGUAACACGUGGAUAACCUACCUAUAAGACUGGGAUAACUUCGGGAAACCGGAGCUAAUACCGGAUAAUAUAUUGAACCGCAUGGUUCAAUAGUGAAAGACGGUUUUGCUGUCACUUAUAGAUGGUUCCGCGCCGCAUUAGCUAGUUGGUAAGGUAACGGCUUACCAAGGCGACGAUGCGUAGCCGACCUGAGAGGGUGAUCGGCCACACUGGAACUGAGACACGGUCCAGACUCCUACGGGAGGCAGCAGUAGGGAAUCGUCCGCAAUGGGCGAAAGCCUGACGGAGCAACGCCGCGUGAGUGAUGAAGGUCUUCGGAUCGUAAAACUCUGUUAUUAGGGAAGAACAAAUGUGUAAGUAACUAUGCACGUCGUGACGGUACCUAAUCAGAAAGCCACGGCUAACUACGUG